UCCGGUUUGUCACCGGCAGUCUUCUUAGAGUGCCCACCUUUACGUGCUGGUAACUAAGAACAAGGGUUGCGCUCGUUACGGGACUUAACCCAACAUCUCACGACACGAGCUGACGACAGCCAUGCAGCACCUGUCUCCAGGUUCCUUUCGGCACUCCCACCUUUCAGUGAGAUUCCUAGGAUGUCAAGGGUAGGUAAGGUUCUUCGCGUUGCAUCGAAUUAAACCACAUGCUCCACCGCUUGUGCGGGCCCCCGUCAAUUUCUUUGAGUUUUAAUCUUGCGACCGUACUCCCCAGGCGGAGAACUUAGCGCGUUAGCUACGAUACUAAGUGGCAUAAGCCACCCAACAUCUAGUUCUCAUCGUUUACGGCGUGGACUAC
rnacentral:misc_RNA from 1 species